rnacentral:lncRNA from 10 species
GUAAGAUGUGGUUUCUCCCCAUGAGCCCUCAAAUCUGCUGCAAAGACAGGAACCCAUAGAUAGCCUUUUCAAUGUGACAACCACAUACUUUGCAUACAGAAACCAUUUAUUUUUCAGAACAAUCCUCUGGGGUAGCUGCUAUUAUUAUCCCCUCUUUAUAGAUAAGGAGAUGGAGGCCCAGAGCAAAAGGCAGGAUGAUUAGAGCUGCAUUCUGUGAAGAUCUCCAUGGCAGCAGGACAUUCAUGACAGACAGGAGAGGCCAGGGAUGAGGAAUGACAAAGCGUUUGGUGACUGCAGUGGGAAUAAAGACAAAGGUUUGGACUCCCAAGGUGCCCCCGUGGAUUGAUGAUCAGUGUGGAGUGUGAGGGCAAGAACACUUCUGCCUGGCUCCCCGGAGAAAGGUCAAGCAUCAGGCAAUUUCCUCAUGUGCAUGCAGAAGAGCUAAGAUUUGAACUUGGGAUGACUGACACUUUCCAUCUUACCAGGUGGCAUAUGGUCAUUAUAGUAAGACAAAGGCAGCCAUUCUACUCCA